rnacentral:rRNA from 1 species
CCCUACGGGGCGCAGCAGUGGGGAAUCUUGCGCAAUGGGCGAAAGCCUGACGCAGCGACGCCGCGUGAGUGAUGAAGGCCUUCGGGUUGUAAAGCUCUGUGGGGAGAGAAGAAUUAGUGCGGGCUAGUACUCCGCAUGAUGACGGUAUCUCCUUAGCAAGCACCGGCUAACUCUGUGCCAGCAGCCGCGGUAAGACAGAGGGUGCAAACGUUGUUCGGAAUUACUGGGUGUAAAGCGUGUGUAGGCGGCCAUGUAAGUUGGAUGUGAAAGCCCCGGGCCCAACCCGGGAAGGGCAUUCAAAACUG